rnacentral:rRNA from 1 species
UGGGGAAUAUUGCGCAAUGGGCGCAAGCCUGAUGCAGCCAUGCCGCGUGUGUGAAGAAGGCCUUCGGGUUGUAAAGCACUUUCAGCGGGGAGGAAGGCGUUAAGGUUAAUAACCUUGGCGAUUGACGUUACCCGCAGAAGAAGCACCGGCUAACUCCGUGCCAGCAGCCGCGGUAAUACGGAGGGUGCAAGCGUUAAUCGGAAUUACUGGGCGUAAAGCGCACGCAGGCGGUCUGUCAAGUCGGAUGUGAAAUCCCCGGGCUCAACCUGGGAACUGCAUUCGAAACUGGCAGGCUAGAGUCUUGUAGAGGGGGGUAGAAUUCCAUGUGUAGCGGUGAAAUGCGUAGAGAUGUGGAGGAAUACCGGUGGCGAAGGCGGCCCCCUGGACAAAGACUGACGCUCAGGUGCGAAAGCGUGGGGAGCAAACAGG